rnacentral:rRNA from 1 species
UACGAAGGGUGCAAGCGUUAUCCGGAUUCACUGGGUUUAAAGGGUGCGUAGGUGGGCUGGUAAGUCAGUGGUGAAAUCUCCGGGCUUAACUCGGAAACUGCCGUUGAUACUAUCAGUCUUGAAUAUCGUUGAGGUAAGCGGAAUAUGUCAUGUAGCGGUGAAAUGCUUAGAUAUGACAUAGAACACCGAUAGCGGAGGCAGCUUACUAAGCGAUUAUUGACACUGAGGCACGAAAGCGUGGGGAUCAAACAGG